rnacentral:rRNA from 1 species
AAUGCUUAGGAAUCUGCCUAUUAGUGGGGGACAACAUUCCGAAAGGAAUGCUAAUACCGCAUACGCCCUACGGGGGAAAGCAGGGGAUCUUCGGACCUUGCGCUAAUAGAUGAGCCUAAGUCAGAUUAGCUAGUUGGUGGGGUAAAGGCCUACCAAGGCGACGAUCUGUAGCGGGUCUGAGAGGAUGAUCCGCCACACUGGGACUGAGACACGGCCCAGACUCCUACGGGAGGCAGCAGUGGGGAAUAUUGGACAAUGGGCGAAAGCCUGAUCCAGCCAUGCCGCGUGUGUGAAGAAGGCCUUUUGGUUGUAAAGCACUUUAAGCGAGGAGGAGGCUACUUGGAUUAAUACUCUAGGAUAGUGGACGUUACUCGCAGAAUAAGCACCGGCUAACUCUGUGCCAGCAGCCGCGGUAAUACAGAGGGUGCGAGCGUUAAUCGGAUUUACUGGGCGUAAAGCGUGCGUAGGCGGCUUUUUAAGUCGGAUGUGAAAUCCCUGAGCUUAACUUAGGAAUUGCAUUCGAUACUGGGAAGCUAGAGUAUGGGAGAGGAUGGUAGAAUUCCAGGUGUAGCGGUGAAAUGCGUAGAGAUCUGGAGG